AACCUUCUGGUAAACGCGAACGCUCCGUGAAGGUUGCCCCAGAAUAGCUUCACCCAUCUCCCCUGCCCCCUCCCCCUACCACCAGUACGGGGAGUACGGGGAGUAUCGGGGAGGGGAGACCACAGUUCUUUUUGGGGCAAAAUCAAAUUCAACCAAUUUGUAAUGGCCCGGAAUUGAAGGAAAAGGCAAAUGUCUUCAUAUGCUUCAUGCUAAGGCUUCCUCUUCGUUCUGUCUCUUUUUUAUGGGCCACAGCCAAUGAACCAGAUAGACAUCCUGCGUGGCCCACACACGUACCCACCCAUGCGCCCAAACCCAUUCAGAGCGCUCUGGACUAGUGUCCCGACUAGAAGAUACCCGGCACUCAGGUCGCCAGAUCUUUAUUAAAAUUGUGGAUAGGACUUGAUCCACGGCUGUUGAUCCUUAUUUGCAGCCUAUCCUUGCAGCCUACACUUACAGGGAGUCGAGGACGAAGACGUCCCUGGACAGGGUCCAGACAAAGUUCGGAUCUGCGGAAGGGAUAGGGGGGGUCGAAAGCGAUUUACGGCAGCGCAUCAAUUCAACGGACAGAAGAAGGACGCGGGGACUGGCAAAUGAGUUCCAUUUAUAUCAUUGGUCAUUACGGAAAUUAUGCGACGCCGAAGCAGCUCCAGCCCCCAGACCCCAGACCCCAGCCCCCAGCCACCGGCCCCAGAGUAGAUAUACUGGGCACGGAAGCGGUAUAAAACGAUAAAGAUACAUUGCAAACGGAAGUCGAAGUAUGAAAAUCGCCUCUGGGACGACGACAACUGCAUGGCAAAGGAUAUACGGUAUGAAUGACACUGGACAAGCAGACGGGUCGGCACUGGCCUGCCCACUGACACGGACUGGGGUGAAGUCGUAAAAAACAGCAGAGCAGCCCAUCAAUAAAAAACGCAAGACAAUGGACCGUGCUCUGAGGGGCCCUCCGCCCUGGGGGAGCGUAAUCCAUGGGAAGGACGAAGGAAGCUUUAGACUCUCUCAGAAGAUGCCAGCCCAGAGAUUAGAGCUGGGAAUAAGUCAGUGAAAAAGGAAGUGACGCGAUCUCAAUGUUGAGAUUAUGCUUGGUCUAUUAUCAACAGCUGUACGGCUGUUCCUUAUACCAGACCUAAGGAAAACACAGCCCAUCUUAUUGAUUCGGAAUGCCUGUCAAUUAAAUCAAGCUGCUGGGUAGGUAAAGAGUAAAUUCCCAUACGUGUAUUCUCGGAAGGGAAUCGCAAGGAAUUCCAGGUCGACCCAGCGAUGUCUGUCCGUCUGUUUUCGAAUAGAAAACGGUGCGGGGUUUUAUUUAGCUCCUAGUCAGGAGUAUGCCAGAUUCGACAGAUUCUGCCAUAGGAACGAUCGUUCGAAAAGCAAUAUCACCUGCUCAAUCCCAACGACAAUCCCCUUCAAAUCCUCUUUCAAAGAGAUGCUCUGGUCGUCGAAAACAAGCUUUCCGAUUGGGUUAAUACAAAAAGUGGUGUACAAACGAGCUGUUACGAGCAGAAGUUAGUUAUACAUAGUUUCCUACGUUUCCCCAACUGCCCAUACUCGUUCGUCAAUGAUUGAUAAGCUUUUGGCCAAAAACUUUUUGGCACUUGUCCUUUGACGCGAUAAAUUUCCCUUUUUCAGCGCUGCCAAAAUGAGAUUUACGAGCAUAUUUUGGAAAAACUUUACCCAUAACAGAACUGCGACUGAGCUGAACAAAGCGGCGACUAAUGAGCGCUUGAAGGACCGCAGAACAGAGUAUUGGAAAUCUUCAUUAAGCUAAUGAGCGGCUGACCCGGGAAUGACGGCGCAAAUGUUUCGAAUGGGAACUGAUGUGUUAACGAUUUAAGGUUAAAGUCAAAACAGAGCCAACACUGGGAGCUCCCUCCGUCAAUGUCAGAUGUACGUGUGCGGCAUGCAAAGCAAAGAGGAACACGCGACAGACACGGUGAAAGACAGCGAAACAGAGGAAGGAAACAGAGUAGCAGAGUAAAAGUAAAGAGCCGGAGGAAGCCCCCCAAUCAUCCGGCCAUGCGAUUACAUGUGUGAACUAUCGAUUGAAUUAAGACAAGCCGAGCAGGGGCCGGAGGGUCUGGUCUGACGACAGACCCGGAGAUGAGGCAGGGACAGCCACUUAAGCGUGUCGCUUGACGGUCGUCGUGCGGGGCUCGACCAGCCAGCAGGUCCUCAUCCACUUGAGGAACGUAAUAAAAAACGCACCAUCCCCCCGCACCAGACCUGCUAGAGAUUCCCUGUCCCAUCGCAUCGCAUCGCAUCGCAUCGCAUCCCAUUCCAUCUAAUCCAAUCCCAUAGCCACCGCUCAUCAAAGCCGUCACACGUCGCAGUGCAGGCAUAAAAAGAGUGCCCCGAGUACGCAGCAUAAUCAAACGGUGUGCGGACCAUAAUAAUGUUGACAAUCAUCCCAGUUGGCCGAGAUGGUCCUGGCUCUGCCGCCUGCCCCUAAGCACUGAUUAUGCCCGACAUGAACUUAGCCCCAUGGUCAUGACAAUUUACCGAUUGUCAUUGUCGUGUCUAUAAAUUUUGUUUGACAAGAGCCCAUUCCCGUCCCCCAGCCCGGUGCUCUCCGUCCCAUCCACACUCGACAUCCACUCAAGCUGCCUGAAUUCACUCGUGUCUGGCCUCCGGCUGCGGCAGAUCCGGCGGACGGAGAGCCGGGAGAAAGACUUUCGGGCGCCGGCGAUUUGCAUCAGAAUUUCAUAAUUAUUGUUUAAUCUGCACUUGAAUCCGAAGAAUACCGAAAUGUCGCAGAGCUGAAGAGAGAAAUAUAUUGAAUAGCCAUGGGUUGGGCGGCAGUCCAAAAGUCCAAGUGGAAUGGAGAACCAUUGAAGCCAGAUUCUAGGAAUAGGCUCUCCAUGGAGAACCAUUUUUGCUUUACCGAAAUGUUUCGCACUUAUAUUUAUUUAAAUGGCGGUUAGAAGUGGUUUCCCCUCGCUUUCCCUUCGCUUUUUGACUUCUUGCAUGCGCCGAUUUCAUGACCGAAAACGAAAUCCGACACUUCCUGCUGGACAAGAAGCAAGCUGGAACCAAAAUAAAUAAUACAGAAUAAAAAAAGAACGAAAUGAAAAGAGCUCGGAAUAAAAUGGCCACUUGAUGGGCAAAUAAUACUCGUAAAAAUCAGAUUCGACAAAAAUUGUUGCGCAACUUGGUCGAUCGGGUUGGGUUGUGGUCGUCUCAGUCUCAUUGCUCAUUGCUCAUUCGAGGGCUCAAAGACGACCGCCAUCGCUUCUGAGGAGAAGGAGGGGGAGGAGGAG